rnacentral:rRNA from 1 species
CAGCCGCCGCGGGAAUACGAACCGUGCGAACGUUAUUCGGAAUUACUGGGCUUAAAGCGCGUGUAGGCGGGCCGCCACGUCGGUUGCUGAAAUCCCCCGGCUCAACCGGGGAAGUGGCAUCGAUACGAGCGGCCUUGAGGGGGGUAGGGGGAUCUGGAACUUCCGGUGGAGCGGUGAAAUGCGUUGAGAUCGGAAGGAACGCCCGUGGCGAAGGCGACUUUCUGGACGAAAACUGACGCUGAGGCGCGAAAGCCAGGGGAGCGAACGGGAUUAGAUACCCCCGUAGUCCCUGUCUCUUAUU